rnacentral:rRNA from 1 species
UACAGAGGGUGCGAGCGUUGUCCGGAAUCACUGGGCGUAAAGGGUGCGCAGGCGGCCAAGUGUGUGAGGCGUGAAAGCCUGGGGCUUAACUCCAGAAUUGCACCUCAAACUACAUGGCUAGAGCAUUGGAGAGGGUAGCAGAAUUCACGGUGUAGCAGUGAAAUGCGUAGAUAUCGUGAGGAAUACCAGAGGCGAAGGCGGCUACCUGGACAAUUGCUGACGCUCAGGCACGAAAGCGUGGGGAGCAAAAGGG